CAUUAAAAGGGCCAGGAACUCAUUCUUCGGAGCUGGGUUCUUGAGACGCCAAGUCGGCUGACGCUCCUGGUGGAAUAAAGCGUCCUCUUUCUUUAACCAGGUGUCUGAGGGGUUUUGUCUGCCGCUCAUCCUGCUACAUUUCUUGGUUCCCUGGCCAGGAAGCGAGGUGAUUAAUGGAAGGUCGAGGCAGCCCCUUAGAUGGCUUAUGCCUGCCCUGCGGACCAUCCCUGCGGGGAACUCUGGCCAGCUUGAGAGACAUGGAUCCUGAGAGCGCUGCCGGGUAGGCAUUUGCCCUGGUGGAACACCUCAUCAGAGCAGUGCAGGGCAGGCCCCCCCGCGGAGGAUCAACGCAGCAGCUGAACACUGGGAAGGAACCGCGCUUGGAGUCCGGACAUCUGGAAUACGGAAGAGGAAGAGACACCAGGAGUACUCAAUCAAGAAAAGGCCAUCUCCAAGCCAGGAAAAGAAGCCUCACUGAAAACCAGCUCUGCUAGCACCUUGAUCUUGGACUUCUCGCCUCCAGAACUAGAUGAGGUCUCACUGUGUUGCCCAGACUGGUCUUCAACUCAUGGACUCAAGCUAUCCUCCUGCUUCAGCCUCCCAUUGUGCUCGGAUUUACAG